AAGCAACCCGAAAUGAGGAAAUAGAACCAAUCGCUUGGGGUACUGAGAGGGAGAAAGCCUUUUGUACUUUAAAGGCUGCACUCUUAUCUGCCCCGGCGUUAGGGCUUCCUGAUUAUUCAAAACCUUUUAGAUUAUAUUGUGAUGAAGCAAAAGGGGUUGCAAAGGGAGUGUUAGUACAAGCUUUAGGAACGCAUGAGAGACCUGUUGCUUAUUUUUCUUCUACAUUAGAUCCAGUGACUAAAGGAACUCCUUUUUGUAUUAGAGCAAUAGCAGCUGCAGCUGAAAUGGUUGAGAAAACCAGAACAAUUGUUUUAGGUCAUCCACUAACUGUUUGUGUACCUCACGAGGUAGAAAUUUUGUUAAAGCAAUACGCGGAGAAAACUUUGUCUCCGCAAUGAGCACAUAGAUAUGAAAUAAUUCUUUUAUUGGCUGAUAAUUUGAAAUUGGAAAGGUGCAAUACUCUAAACCCUGCAACUUUAAUGCCUUUACCUUCUGAUGGAGAAAAAGAUAACCAUAAUUUUGCUAAUCUCGUAAAAGAAACCAGCAAGCCGCGAGAUGACCUGAGAGAUCAACCUUUAGAUAACCCCGACUUGAACCUCUUCACGGACGGCUCAUCUUACUAUGAAGAAGGCUGAAGAUGUACUGGUUUCGCCGUCACCACAGAAACACAGGUACUACUGGCGGGAUCUUUGCCUGCACUUUUGGGUGCACAAGGGGCGGAAAUAGUUGCUCUUACUGAAGCUGCAAAGUAUGCAAAUGGAAUCGGAGUUAACAUUUAUACAGACUCUAAAUAUGCCUUUGGUGUAUGCCAUGCUACGGGGACUUUAUGGAAGGAAAGGGGUUUUCUGACUUCGGCGGGAAACACUGUUGCUCACGGACAACAGAUCAAAGACCUUUUAGAAGCAAUCCAAUUGCCCUCUGAGAUAUCUGUAAUUUAUAUAAAGGCACACACACAGAGACAAGACAUGAUCGCAAAAGGAAAUUCUCUAGCUGACCAAGCCACUAGAGCAGCAGCACGACAGGUCAUGUCCGUUAUGUCUCUGUCACAAGAUGGAACAACAUUGGAGCUCCCUGAUACGAAUAAGCUGUAUGAAGACCUCCCGGAGGAAGAAGAACAGCAAUGGACUUGGUUGGGAGCCCAGCGACGAGAAGGGCAGUGGAUUCUGAACAACAAACCUCUCCUUCCAAAAAGGAAUACUCUGAGGCAACCAAUUGGAGUUUCUCCAGCUGAAAUUCUUUUUGGGAGAAUACUUGCUGUUCCAGAAAUUCAUAGGUACCUUUGAAGUGUAAGAAGAUAAGUGAUGAUGACAACCGGAGACUUUCUGCCUGUGACCACCAAUCCCAGAAGAACCGAGACAUGAGAAUGGAGAAUGGAUGAGAUAAGAUGAUGGAUGAUAACAAUAUGAGAACAGAAAAUCGACUGGAAAAUUACAGAGACUUUGGAUUGGGACAAUGGGUGGCAAA